rnacentral:rRNA from 1 species
GAUGAACGCUGGCGGCGUGCCUAAUACAUGCAAGUCGAGCGAACAGACGAGGAGCUUGCUCCUCUGACGUUAGCGGCGGACGGGUGAGUAACACGUGGAUAACCUACCUAUAAGACUGGGAUAACUUCGGGAAACCGGAGCUAAUACCGGAUAAUAUAUUGAACCGCAUGGUUCAAUAGUGAAAGACGGUUUUGCUGUCACUUUUAGAUGGAUCCGCGCCGCAUUAGCUAGUUGGUAAGGUAACGGCUUACCAAGGCAACGAUGCGUAGCCGACCUGAGAGGAUGAUCGGCCACACUGGAACUGAGACACGGUCCAGACUCCUACGGGAGGCAGCAGUAGGGAAUCUUCCGCAAAGGGCGAAAGCCUGACGGAGCAACGCCGCGUGAGUGAUGAAGGUCUUCGGAUCGUAAAACUCUGUUAUUAGGGAAGAACAAAUGUGUAAGUAACUAUGCACGUCUUGACGGUACCUAAUCAGAAAGCCACGGCUAACUACGUG